AAUAGAUACCCGGGUAGUCCACGCCGUAAACGAUGGAUGCUAGCUGUUAGGAGUAUCGACCCUCCUAGUAGCGUAGCUAACGCGUUAAGCAUCCCGCCUGUGGAGUACGGUCGCAAGACUAAAACAUAAAGGAAUUGACGGGGGACCCGCACAAGCGGUGGAGCGUGUUGUUUAAUUCGAUGGUAAGCGAAGAACCUUACCCAGGCUUGACAUCCUGCUAAAGCCCCGAAAGGGACUGUGCCUUCGGGCCGCAGUGACAGGUGAUGCAUGGCCGUCGUCAGCUCGUGUCGUGAGAUGUUUGGUUAAGUCCAUCAACGAGCGCAACCCUUAUAGUUAGUUGUAUUUCUCUAGCUAGACUGCCCUGGUAACAGGGAGGAAGGAGGGGAUGAUGUCAGGUCAGUAUUUCCCUUACGGUCUGGGGCUACAAACGACGCUACAAUGGCCGGUACAAAGGGCAGCCAACCCGCGAGGGGGAGCAAAUCCCAUCAAAGCCGGUCUCGAGUUCGGAUAGCAGGCUGAACUCGCCUGCUUGAAG
rnacentral:rRNA from 1 species